AGAGAGUUAAACACGGAAAUCUGAGUCUCAGUACAUAACCGCCGCUACUAAAUUGAAUGACCUAAAGUUAACACAUAGUUGCAGCAUCCAUCCACUGUGCGCUUUUACGCAAUCCCUUUAAUUGGCCUUCGGCACAGUAGGACAGUGGCAUCAGAGGCGCAGAACAGAGUUUACCAUGCACUCUCUCAGGCUUGACUGACUACAUGACAUACGAGAUGAAGGCUGUUUUCUGGGGGGUUCUCCUCGCCUGUGUGGACUGGGGUUGGGGCCAGGAGAAUCUCACAUUUGAUGGAGACGUCCGCGACUUUGCCAUUAGUGACCGAUCCGUAUACGUCGUUACGGAUGACCGACUCUACCAGCUGAACCAUGAUUUUACCAAAGUUAUAAAGAGGGAUACUCCGAAUGUAGUUUAUCCUAACCAAGAAGCACCCCCUUCCAAUGAAACGUAUCCAUUUAAGGUAAACAUUUUACUGCCAUUCAUCAAAAACAAGACCUUGAUCACCUGUGGAACCACAAAAUGCGGUUACUGUGAAAUACUGGAUCUCAACGAAAUCUCGAAAUCUGUGCAUUCGGAGAAUAUUGAAGUGGGUUCAUUGGACCCUGGAGAUUCAACCAUUGGCUUUAUUGUUGAUGUCGGGACGAACUCCUACAUUAUGGCUGGAAGGCUGCCGAGCCGUGUGCGUAAAGCGUGUGUGAAUUCAGAUCAGUUGCUUGACCUACGGAAUACACUAGACGGACAGCAUGGGGGAAUCUUUUCUCAUUCAGAUGAGAGUACGACUCCGUAUAUUGACGCCAGACAAAAGGAGAACUUUCAGUUUGUGGACGGCUUUCAGAGUAAUUCACACAUCUACGUGUUCUCGAACGUUCCCCAAGAGCGUCAAGUUCGAGUUAUUUUGUUCAAGAGCGAGAACAGUAAAACAAAUACUUUGAGACACUUCCAAGGUGCAACACUCAAAUGCUGUGGAAACACGGAGCGGCGGGAGCUCCUGUCUUCCUCUGUGAUUCAAGGUUCUGGUGGGCUCCAUGGGCAGGUGCUCUGGGCAGGUGUGUUCACGGCUGGUAACACAAGCGACCCCAUCAACACCGUGCUGGCCAUCUAUAACAUCAGCUCUACAGGGCCUCAACUCAAAUACAAUGACCCAGACUUCUGCUAUAAAGGCUGUGCAGAGGCAUUGCCAACGGGUACCACCCAGGACCUGCAUCCAGAAGCAGUGGUGUUUAGAUACAGCUCCAUGACAUCAGUGUUGGCAGUGAGACACAACUCCUGGCUGGUGUUCUUCAUUGGGACAGGAGACGGACAACUCAUCAAGCUUGCUGUAGACAAGGCCUACAAACCUGCCUGUCCCAGAGUGCUCUACAAUUCAGAUGACGACCGCCGUGUGUUUCCCAAGAUGCACCUGGAUCCAGUGGACCGCAAACAUGUGUACAUGGCACUGAGGAACCAGAUGAUGCGUGUGCCUGUGGCUCAGUGCAGUGAACACAAGAGUCUGAAGGACUGUUGGUCUGCUCAGGACCCCUUCUGUGGCUGGUGUGAGUCAAGAUGUUCGUUUCAGGAUGACUGCCUUCAGCCUUCAGCCUGGAUCUCCAUCUCUGAGGACUCCCAACAACAGAACAUGGUCUCUUACCAGGUGGAGAAGAGCAGCAGUGGAGAGAAGAUCACACUCACUGUCAAGGUCCACCUGAAUGUGAAUGGGACAGGAAGUCUCACCUUUACCUGUAACUUCUUCAAUAAAAGAGGUGAUCUGUGUGACAGGACAAGUCCCGCUCCAGCUUUUCCGCAAUGCUCCUGCCUGUUCUCCAGCGACCAGCUUCCUGCUGAAGGUUUGAAUGUCACAGUGAAGAUAAGAGUGGGGAAGCAGAACCUUGCUGAGAAACUGAUGCUCACAAACUGUUCAGACAUCACUGGACCACCUACCUCUGCCCUGUGUUCUCAGUGCAUGACAGCUGGAUGUAGCUGGAGUAAUGAUGUCUGCUCCUGGACAACCAGGUCUGCCAACUCAGACCCCAUACAGGACGUGUGCAGACUCAGCCAGUCAGGUUUGAACUACUCUGAGCCAGUGAUCUUUUCCAUAGAGCCCAGUGUUCUGUCCUUCCAUGGGAGAAACCAUGCCUUGAUGAAUGGAGAGAACCUGGAUCAUGUGACCAAGGUUCGCAUCCAAGGGCACAUGAACUGCAGUCUCAAGGAGUCUCCAGUGUGGAACCACACUGGAUCCAGUCUGACGUUCCACAUCCCCAGUGGAGACAAAGGUUCUGUCAGUGUGUGUGCCGUGCUGCCAGACGGUCGCUGUCUGGGCAAGGCCACUGUCACCUAUGGGUCCUCACCAUCCUGCACUGGGCUAACACCAAGCACUACCUGGGCUAGUGGGAAGAGGAAGAUCAAGGUCCACGGGUCCCAUCUGGAGUUUGUGGAGGAGGUUGUUCAUGACCACGCCCCUCAGACAAUCCAAACCAAAUACAGCUCUGGGACUCUGUGGUACCACACACCUCCCUUUGAACACAUAAACCAGCCAGUCACCUCCACAGUGUCUCUGAGAGUGGCCAAUCAGACACUGGCCUGCUCAUCACAGUUCACCUACCAUCCCGACCCAGAAUUCACCAGCUACACCGCAAUCAAGACAGGAAAUGACAUGCGUGUCACCAUUGAGAAAAGGGCUGACAAGUUGAAUAUCACCACAGAAGAGAUCUUAGUGUUUGGUGUUCAGGAGGAGAACCAUGAUGUAGAGUGUGUCAUGGACACCAUCGAGACGAGCAACGAGACUGACUCUGUCAUCUGUGAGAUAAAGAACACUCCCAACUUUAACAUCAAUUCACUGAGGAUAAGAGUUGGAAACUUCACCAAAAUACUUUUGCCAAAACAAGCUGCACCUUCACUGCUAAUCAUCCUUGUGCUUAUACCCAUCGUCAUUGUGGUCAUUGUGGGUGUGGUGUUGUAUUCCUACAAUAAACAGAGGAAAAUGGCGGCACAAAUGAACAAGCAGCUGGAUCAGCUGGAGUGUGACAUCAGAAAUGACAUCAGACAAGGAUUUGUGGAUAUGCAGACGGAAAAGUGUGAUUUAAUUGAGAACGUUGGAGCCAUCCCUUUCUUGGACUACAAGCACUUUGCUUCCAGGAUCUUCUUCCCUGACGGUGGACCUGUGAUGACCUCCUGUAUCAAAGACAUUGGCCAGGACGCGGUGAAGGUGCAGCCAGACGAGAGCUGUCAGGCCCUGUCCAGACUGAUCCGGGAUCAAGUGUUCCUCACCUCCUUCGUCCACGCUCUGGAGGAGCAGAAGAACUUCAACGUCAAGGAGAAGUGUGCGGUGGCCUCCCUGCUGACCGUGUCCCUCCACGGUGACCUCCCCUACCUGACCCAGGUGAUGGAGGAACUACUCAGGGCUCUGAUGGAGCAGCCCAGUAACUCCCAGCCCAAACUCAUGCUGCGACGUACCGAGUCCAUCGUAGAGAAGCUUCUCACCAACUGGAUGUCCAUCUGUCUCUACGGCUUCCUCAGGGAGAGUGUGGGCCAGCCCCUUUUCCUGCUAGUGUGUGCCCUGACCCAGCAGAUGUCUAAAGGCCCAGUGGACUCAGUCACAGAAAAGGCUCUUUACACACUUAACGAAGACUGGUUACUGUGGCAGGCUCAGGACUUCAGCCCAAUGAGGCUACAGGUGUUGUUUGCUGUGGGAACAGACGGAGAGGUCAGUGAGCCUCUGGAGGUCAGUGCUCUGGACUGUGACACGGUGGAGCAGGUCAAGGAGAAGAUCCUCCUGGCCUUCAAGACCAAGUUUGGCUUCCCCUACAACAUCCCUCUCCGACAGAUGCACAUUGAGUAUGAGAAGAAUGGAAGGUUUGUCCCACUGAAAGAGGUGGAUGCCAGCUCAGGGGUUCUAGGAGAAGUGACCAUGCUCAACACACUCAAGCACUACAAGGUACCGGAUGGAGCGUCCAUCAAAGUGCUCUCUAAGACCCAUCCCAGUCUGAGUCCUCAGAGCAGCCUGAAAGGGUGGAGUCCCAUUGAGACCAAGGUCUCUUUUACAAGGGAGCCCUGGUGCAAACAAUUACUCAAUCAAGGCAGCAUGGGCCCAAAAGAAAUACACAAAGAAACACACAAAGAAAAAACAACAAUCAACAAAACAAACAUUCCUCAGUAAAGUUGAGUUUAAAGUAGACAUGUUUUGCUCCACAUUUACCCUCCCCAUCUUUCUAAUGUUGUUAUAUGACAGAUGUGAAACACAAGUGAGAUGCAAAACCACUUAACUGUGUCAGCUUACAUAAAACCCGAACAGAAACCAGGAAGCUGUUUAGCACAAUUGUCUGCUAUUUAGUCAUCCAUGGUGACCUGUUGUUGUGUAUUUGUCACAGACGAUCAGAACUACUCCACAAAGUACUUCCAUCUGAUUGAUCCUGACAUUGACCAGGACCAAAAGAAGAACCCGGAGAGGAAGAAGCUGAAACUGAAGGAAGUGUACCUCACCAAGCUGCUCUCCACCAAGGUGGCUGUGCAUUCGUUUGUGGAAAACCUGUUCAGAACGAUCUGGGGAACCCCUAACCUCAAAACCCCGCCUGCCAUCAAGUACUUCUUUGACUUCCUGGACGCCCAGGGAGAGAGCAAGAGGAUCAGUGACCAGGAUGUACUACACAUCUGGAAAACCAACAGCCUGCCCCUGCGGUUCUGGGUGAACAUCCUGAAGAACCCCCAGUUUGUGUUCGACAUGGAGAAGACCCCGCCUCUGGACGGCUGUCUCUCCGUCAUUGCCCAGGCCUUCAUGGACUCCUUCUCCCUGGCUGAGAAACAGUUGGGCAAGCAUGACCCAACCAAUAAACUGCUCUAUGCCAAAGAUAUCUCCCAGUACAAGCAGGAAGUAAGGGCUUACUACAAGCAGGUCAGGGACCAGCCACCAAUCAGCAGCUCUGAGUUCAAGGAGUUCCUGCAUAAGGAGUCAAAGAAACAUGAGAACGAAUUCAAUGAAUCUGCUGCCCUCCGUGAACUCUACAAAUACAUGCAGCUGUACUUUGAUGAGAUUAAACUGAAGCUGGAUCAGAACGGCGCCCCCGUGGAGUUGAAAGAGCAACUGCAGCAUGUGAAGAGCCUGUUUGACAGCCUCAAGAGCUGUUCCUGGAACUGAGCUCACUCCCUCCCCUUCGACGUGCUGAAGGCCAGAAAGCUGCUCUAAGUACCGAUGCCCACCCCCCCCCCCGCUUUGUGAUUCUAAGAUGGAAUAUGUCAGGAGACACAGGGAUUUACAAUUCAAGAAAAAAUAAAUAAAUCAGGAGGCUUUUCAGAUUACUGGGAUGAACCAAAUGAUGGCAGGAAUUAGCAGGUCACAUUCCAGACAGACAUUUACCCAGAAGCAGCGAAUAUACUCUUAUUCUGAAGCUGGGACUUUUGUUUCCUCAACCAAAACUGAAAGACUAAAGAA